AAAAAAGGUAAGCUACUAAGAGCGAAUGGUGGAUGCCUUGACUGGUAAAGGCGAUGAAGGACGUACUAGACUGCGAUAAGCUACGGGGAGCUGUCAAGAAGCUUUGAUCCGUAGAUUUCCGAAUGGGGCAACCCAAUGUAUAGAGAUAUACAUUACCUAUAUAGGAGCGAACGAGGGGAAUUGAAACAUCUUAGUACCCUCAGGAAAAGAAAUCAAUAGAGAUUGUGUCAGUAGCGGCGAGCGAAAGCGCAAGAGGGCAAACCCAGUGCUUGCACUGGGGGUUGUAGGACUGCAAUGUGCAAGAGCUGAGUUUAGCAGAACAUUCUGGAAAGUAUAGCCAUAGAGGGUGAUAGUCCCGUAUGCGAAAAACAAAGCUUAGCUAGCAGUAUCCUGAGUAGGGCGGGACACGAGGAAUCCUGUCUGAAUCCGGGUCGACCACGAUCCAACCCUAAAUACUAAUACCAGAUCGAUAGUGCACAAGUACCGUGAGGGAAAGGUGAAAAGAACUGAGGUGAUCAGAGUGAAAUAGAACCUGAAACCAUUUGCUUACAAUCAUUCAGAGCACUAUGUAGCAAUACAGUGUGAUGGACUGCCUUUUGCAUAAUGAGCCUGCGAGUUGUGGUGUCUGGCAAGGUUAAGCAAACGCGAAGCCGUAGCGAAAGCGAGUCUGAAUAGGGCGCUUAGUCAGAUGCUGCAGACCCGAAACGAAGUGAUCUAUCCAUGAGCAAGUUGAAGCUAGUGUAAGAACUAGUGGAGGACUGAACCCAUAGGCGUUGAAAAGCCCCGGGAUGACUUGUGGAUAGGGGUGAAAGGCCAAUCAAACUUCGUGAUAGCUGGUUCUCUCCGAAAUAUAUUUAGGUAUAGCGUUGUGUCGUAAUAUAAGGGGGUAGAGCACUGAAUGGGCUAGGGCAUACACCAAUGUACCAAACCCUAUCAAACUCCGAAUACCUUAUAUGUAAUCACAGCAGUCAGGCGGCGAGUGAUAAAAUCCGUCGUCAAGAGGGAAACAACCCAGACUACCAGCUAAGGUCCCUAAAUCUUACUUAAGUGGAAAACGAUGUGAAGUUACUUAAACAACCAGGAGGUUGGCUUAGAAGCAGCCAUCCUUUAAAGAAAGCGUAAUAGCUCACUGGUCUAGUGAUUUUGCGCGGAAAAUAUAACGGGGCUAAAGUAAGUACCGAAGCUGUAGACUUGCGCACAACUUAGAUUAUUUAAGUUUAGAAUAUGAGAAACUAAGUUAUAUUUUUACUGAUUUUUAUAGAGUAAAGAUAGAAAUAAAACUUAGUAAAAUCAGUAAAAAUAUUCUUAGGCUAAAGUUAAGUAGUUUAAGUUGUGUGCAAGUGGUAGGAGAGCGUUCUAUUUGCGUCGAAGGUAUACCGGUAAGGAGUGCUG
rnacentral:rRNA from 1 species